rnacentral:lncRNA from 1 species
GCUGAACUUACACCAGCAGCAUGCCAGCGAGGAGGAGGCGCAUUUCUUGGAUGUCGGCUUGGAGUUGCACGAGGGCGAGCUCCACACCUCCGUUUGUGGGGGGCCCACCUAUGAGCCGAUUAUUGUUCCGAGGUGGUCCCAUGAUCCAACCUCCUAUAGGGCCUCGGCGUUUGGAUUUUGCUUUGAAAGGGCUGAGCUCUGCAGCAACACUGGAGAGGGAAUGGAGGGGGAACUGCAGUGCAUAUAUGGGACGGGUUGCUUGCAUGGAUGUGCGAGAGGAUUUUUGGCAAGAGUUCAUACUGGAGUGGGGCGGUCCCUCA